CCUACGGGUGGCAGCAGUGGGGGAUAUUGGACAAUGGGGGGAACCCUGAUCCAGCGACGCCGCGUGAGUGAAGAAGUAUUUCGGUAUGUAACGCUCUGUCAGCAGGGAAGAAAGAAAUGACUGUACCUGACCAAGAAGCCCCGGCUAACUACGUGCCAGCAGCCGCGGUAAUACGUAGGGGGCAAGCGUUAUCCGGAAUUACUGGGUGUAAAGGGAGCUUAGACGGUUAAGUAAGUCUGGAGUGAAAGGCCGGGGCUCAACCCCGGGACUGCUCUGGAAACUAUUUAACUUGAGUGCAGGAGAGGUAAGCGGAAUUCCUAGUGUAGCGGUGAAAGGCGUAGAUAGUAGGAGGAACACCAGUGGCGAAGGCGGCUUACUGGACUGUAACUGACGUUGAGGCUCGAAAGCGUGGGGAGCAAACAGGAGUAGAUACCCUAGUAGUC
rnacentral:rRNA from 1 species